GGGUUUCCUCGGCAGCACAUAUACUAAAAUUAGAACAAUACAGAGAAGAUUAGCACAGCCCCUAUGCAAGGAUGGCACACAAAUUUGUGAAGCGUUCCGUAUUUCC
ensembl:snRNA U6 U6 spliceosomal RNA